UAGAGCAUCUCGUUGCCAACGAGAGGGUCACGGGUUCGAAUCCCGUCUUCCGCUCCA
rnacentral:tRNA from 1 species